rnacentral:rRNA from 1 species
AAAUUUACUUCUGGUCUUGUUUUCUAAUUUGCAAAUUUAAUUAUAGAGAUAAAUUAUAUAGGUUAAAUAGAAUUUACAUUUUUCUGUAAAUAUUUUUUCUUUCUGCUGUUCUGGGAUAACUUGAAUUGAAAUCAAUUUGACCCCGUCAAUUAAUUAUUAGUGAAAUUAUUUUUAUUAUUUGUCUACUAGGUUAUAGUAACUGUUGCUAGUUCAAUGGUAUCCCUAUUGUCGCAUUAUUAAAAGAUUUCAGGAAUAUUUUUAUUAUCAAAUGCUGGAGCUACAACUUAAUUAAUGGAUUAAUCUCGUUUUCGGUUAAUUCCUUCAGACAAGCUGAAAAUUUUUUAAUGUACUAAACUCAAGUCUGGCCAUGUUCGGUCCAGCCAAAGGUAGAAGAUUUAUUAAGAAUGUCAUGCUUUCCCGGAUUCUUUGAUU